CGGACGGGUGAGUAACGCGUGGGCAACCUGCCCUUAUCUGGGGGAUAACAGUUGGGAAACGACUGAUAAUACCGCAUAAUAUGGUUUGAAGGCAUCUUCUUUCCAUCAAAGAUUUAUCGGAUAAGGAUGGGCCCGCGUCUGAUUAGCUUGUUGGUGAGGUAACGGCUCACCAAGGCGACGAUCAGUAGCCGACCUGAGAGGGUGAUCGGCCACAUUGGAACUGAGACACGGUCCAAACUCCUACGGGAGGCAGCAG
rnacentral:rRNA from 1 species